rnacentral:rRNA from 1 species
AGCGAACGCUGGCGGCAGGCUUAACACAUGCAAGUCGAGCGCCGUAGCAAUACGGAGCGGCAGACGGGUGAGUAACGCGUGGGAACGUACCUUCUGGUUCGGAAUAACUCAGGGAAACUUGAGCUAAUACCGGAUAAGCCCUUCGGGGAAGGAUUAUCGCCGGAAGAUCGGCCCGCGUAAGAUUAGCUAGUUGGUGAGGUAAUGGCUCACCAAGGCUACGAUCUUUAGCUGGUCUGAGAGGAUGAUCAGCCACAUUGGGACGUGAGACACGGCCCAAACUCCUACGGGAGGCGGCAGUGGGGAAUAUUGGACAAUGGGCGCAAGCCCGAUCCAGCCAUGCCGCGUGAGUGAUGAAGGCCUUAGGGUUGUAAAGCUCUUUUAGUCAGGGACGAUAAUGACGGUACCUGCAGAAAAAGACCCCGGCCAACUUCGUGCCAGCAGCCGCGGUAAAGU